GCACAAACAUUAAAACAACCUAAUUUAAACUCAUAUUUUAUUAUACCCCUCUAUUAUACCUUUCUAUCAUUAACUUUAUCAAACGACACCAACGGCUUCCAAAUUAAAUAUGCAACAAUUACAACUCAAGAAUACAUGGAUAACAAUGCCCCACCAACUUGUCAUUAUACCUUUCUAUCAUUAACUUUAUCAAACGACACCAACGGCUUCCAAAUUAAAUACGCAACAAUUACAACUCAAGAAUACAGGGAUAACAAUGCCCCACCAACUUGUCUGUCACCCCUCCCUUGUACACAGUUCCAUUUCUUUGGUCAAUUUGAACCAGACAGUUCUGCAUAUUGA